GUACCCAUACAUACAUACAUAGUACAUAUACAUACAUACAUAUAGAAAGUCGUUUGCUUACAAAAAUGUUAACAAAUGUGGUUAAUGUCUCUACUGGUAGUUAUGCUGUACUCAUUAUGCUGAUUUUUAACAAAAUUAAAUAUAAAUUUGCAUUAUAUUUGUAUGCCAUAAGCAAAAGAAAAACGAAAACAAACAACAAAAUUGCGAAUGUUUCAUUUAGUAUGCAAAUGGCGUGAAGAAACUCAAGUCAAGGAGAUCAAGUUUUUGUUAUUUUAUGGGAGGAAAGUGUGCGGGCUUUUCACUUUUAGUGCAAAAAACAAAUUUUUUAACGCUUGCAGGUGUCAUUUAUUUGCUUAUAUACACAGUUAUGUAGACUAAAAUGAAAUAGGUUGGUCAAAGCAUGGAGAAAAGUGCUCAGCUGAUGUGUUGUUGUAUUUUUAAUAUAUUAAUAGGAAAAAUUCUUACAGUAGGUGAGGUCACUGUGAUUAUUUUCAAAGUACAGAGCCGCAAAAAAAUCCUUAAGUCGCUAGCCAGCUGCCGGAGGAGAUAAAAAACAUUGUUAUCAACUUAAAAGGCAAUUGGCCGAUCGAGAGCGACCCUUGCGCAGCUUCGUUCUGUAUACGGUAGCAGAUUAAGUAGGAGUUUAAUUAUCCAGAAUAGAGCCCGAGAUAUCAGACAUCCACCGAACGACAUUAAAACCUUCAUCGACUGUCUUUCAGUGAAUGUCGUACUUGCAGAUGAAUAGCUUGAGUUGUCUUACGAAUCUGGAUAUUGUAGCAGGCUGAACUGCUACCUAUCCGAAAUCGACACCAACAUUCCCAAUAUGCAUAUGCCCUGCAUACAAUGAGUCGCCGCAUACCACUAACCACCUCUCUGCAAGCCCAAUGAAUCCAUUCAUCUUACACUCCUCUCCAUAUGGUUCGAUCCCGUCGAAACAGCAUUUUUCCAUGGUCCUCCGUUAGAUGAUUUCGGUUACAAUUACAAUUUCUUCUGCUACGCAAACAAAAAAUUCGCAAUUCCGGACUGAGUUCCAUUAGUUUCGCGAAAGCUCAGUUUACUAUAAGAUAUGAUAGUCCUGCUAACCAAGACCUCACCUUUAACUACAAAUCUACAAUAUACACAAAAUGCUUUCCAUUUCUUUGAACCCUAAAUCCUGUCUCGUUCACUAACCAUAUUUUUCUAAUCCAACUCUUUUAAAUCAGGAUCCAGGAACCUGAAUUUACCGUAAUAAGUAUGUCAAAAAUCUAAAUUGCUGCUAAGCAGUGCUCGAAUAGCAGUUACCAAUGUUGAGCUAACCGCGAUAAAAGUCGUUUUUGAAGACUAUUGCAUCGGUAAUUGCCCUUGGUCUGCUUGUUUUUAUAGCACUACCUAUCACGAUAAGUGCACACGAACCGUUCGUACUUUCAACCCUGUCACUACCUGUGUUUAGUUGUACCAUUAGGUUGCCUAGGAAACCUAAUAAGCCGCACAAACUCAUUACCAAAAGCAGACAAACACAAAUCGAAGCAUUCUGGUGACUUUCACGUGUAGCAAAUCAAAUUUUAUAAAAAAAAUAAGAAAUAGAUAAUAAUGAGUGGUCGUCUCACACAAACCGGAAAGAAGAAAUCCAAAGAAAAUCGUCGGAAGAGCUCUAAACCAGUGAACCGUACCAAAACCAAACGUUGCAAGUCACGACCAACUCGCGAAUACCAGGAAAAUGAGCGCGAGGUACAAGCUUUAUUGGAGAACACAAGUCUGUCUAUCGAUAACAGUCCACAGAGUCAUCGAAAAGAUGAGCUAACGUUGAGUCUGGAUUUUUUUUGUCGCACCAGCGAGGAAGAACUCCCAACAGCCGGGAGCUCUGCGCAACAUAAGAAGCUACUGAAGAGCGAAAAUAUUGAAGAAACUAGUUUAGACAAUGGCAGCGAGAGGACUGAAGAGGACGACGAGCAGCAGGAAGAGUUUACAACUGCUGACGAGGAAGAUGAGAAUGCGUCUGAGGGCAGCGAACAAACUGUUUCACCGACCUCCACACAGCAACGCGAGCAAACCGCUUCCACCUACAUACAAGUCGAUGAAGAUGAUGUGGUCGUGCAACGGAUUGAGUGUGAAAAGUUCAUACCAGACGCAAGUUUGCUUUUCAAGCCACAGGCGAAACUCACGUCGGAAGUCGCCUUGGCUGUCAGUAGUCUUGAGAAUCUGGAUAGUAGAGGAAAGCCGCAAGCACUAAGUGCCAAUAUCUGUCGUAUGCUGAAUCGGCAUCAAGCAGAGCAGCGUGCGAGAGAUGAACCCAUCUCUAAAGCAGUUGUGGAACAACUAAAGCUUACCAAUUCAACGUGGUCGUCAUAUACGAAGGAUCGUACACUUUACCGCAGCUUUUGCGCACAUAAAUUUCAUCCGGUAUUUUGUGUACCGACACGUCAACCGGACGAGAUACCCACAAGGAAAUUUGUGCGCAUCUACAUGAAGGAGCUGCUCUUCACAGCUCAUCCGCAUUUGUUGGAGGAACAUCGACUCUCUAACGCCUUGGAAGAACUCCAUGAGAAUUAUGUGCAGCGGCAACAGCAACGUAUUUGUGAAAAGCUGCGCGCACAACUGCAGACCGAGCGUCGCGUGGUCAAUGAGCUGUUGCUGCGUGAGUCAAGGAACAGCGCCGAACAGGAGUCGGCGCGUACAAUUGAGCGACGAGCGCGACAACUGGAAAAUCAGUUGCUGAACGUGCGUGCGCUACGCAACAGGCUUUAUGAGGAGGAGGCGCAUUCCAAGCAGCUGCUCAAAGAAAUACUAGACACUUGGAAGCGUCUCAAGCAACUACGUAAGACACAAGAUUACCAAUGUACGCGUUUCAAACUGCGCAUUCACGUGGAGUAUGCGGCAAAUACGGCCGCGGAAGCACAACGCUGGGCUGAGCGCUUCAGGACUGACUUGAAUGAAAUUUACCGCGAGGAGUUGGAGAUUUAUUAUCGCGCCAAACGUCUGUGGAAGGCGCGCGAUCGCAAGGCGGGUAUAACCGAGCUGCCAAUUAAGCCACGUAAACCGGAUAUCACACAGCUGUCGACGGAAUUGCGCGCCAAGUUAGCCGAGUGUCUGGGUGCGCAAGGCGAACCGAAGAUCAAUGUACAACUACAUCGUGUAUGUGAGGGCGAGUUUUACAACCUGCCCGGUUUGAAACGACUAAAAAGUUUCUACAUGAAAAUUUACUUCGAUGGCGAGUUUGUGAGCGCGACGCGCAGUUAUCGCAUCGAACCCGAUUUACGUAUACCGAUGAACGAGGUAUUUGGCAUCUUUUUGGAGCGGCGCGUGCCAAAGGAUAUAAGAGUAACGCUCUACGAAAAAUUCCGUCUGCACUCAGCGCGCAAAGUCGUCGAUAUAGCGGUGCCUAUACCGCACGCGCUGCACACGGCCGACACCGAGCAGCAACGCAUAUGCUUUACAGCGCAAAAAUCAUUAAACGUCAGUGGGCGUCUCACCAUACGCUUUCAAUGUGAGGAACAAGUGGACUUGAGCGCACACUGGUAUGUGCCAACUGCCGCCAACACCAGUCCCACCGGCUCGCUGCAAAGCUCACCCACGAGUCAAGCAAUUGCGCGAGAGCCCCUUGCCGAAAAAUUAUUAGCGCAAUUGGAUGACAAUGCACAGCACGCUGAUGACGACGAAAUAGCAAGUGAGUCGGCUGAACCCGAUAAACCGGCAGCGACGUCAUUUAACACGUGUACCUUCGAAGAGGACUUGUUGCAUUUUUGCCCUAUCGAAGAUUUGAAGCAUAACCGACGCUUUAAGCUGCUGCGCUCACGUUACUUGAAAAAUGAUCCGCGCACGCGCGAUUUGCGCUUUAUUCCAGCGCUUGACAAUGAGCUCGAAUUCGAUUGGUCCGAUAAGGAGGAGGCGGUCAUUGAAGCGGGCGAUUGGAUGGAUCCGAUAGAUUUGCAUAAGCAUGAGGGCAAAAAGUAUCUGAAGCAACUGUACGAAGCGUUACGUAGCCAGUGUGCGCGUUUGAGCAUUGCUGCGGCCAGCGCCGAAGAGUUGCUGAUCGGCGAUGUGCCUGCCAGUUGGAGCACAUUCUUUCAGGUUUUAAGUUUGAUCUUCAAUCCCAGACGUACAUUGAGCGCGCCACCCACUCCGUCAACUACGUCACGUGCGCACGUACUGGAUAUGGAUGCUAGUGAAAACUACAAGAUUGUUCUGAAUAUCGUACGCGCUACCGGCAUACCAGUGCGUAUACCAAGCACGACGGAUAACGAGAGUAAGGAACGCAGCAAUGAGAGCCCGAACAUGUUCGUGACGCAGCUUUAUAAAUACUCCAACGUGCGUCCGUUCAUAGUACUAAGUUACAGAGAUAAAUUUUGUCGCUCGCUAACCGUAGAGGGCUCAAAUCCGACAUGGAAUGAGCAACUCAUCUUGCAGUUCAGUGGCAGCUUGACGGAUCUGCGCGACGAUCUCAAAAUCUCACUCUUCGACGAAGUGAUCGAGAAUCAUCUUAACGAUGAACUCAGCGUGCGCAGCAUGGAUAUUUAUCAGCGCGUGCAAACUAAUUGGCUGGGUGAAUACCGGUUUCCCUUGCACACACUGCUCUCACAACAAAAGCUUGAUGGCGUAAUCGAGUUGAAGACACCCAAAGUGCUGCUUGGCUACAAACAACCAACUCUGGAGCACAUAACCGCACAAGCUGACGUGAAUAUAUCUAUUGAACAAUUUCCGGAAAUAAAAGAAACGGUGCGCCUUUGGUUCUACAUGAGCAUUGAGCCGCACGUGACACUGCCACACAUCAAUACCGCUAGCUUGGAAUGUGCCGAAUUGAAGGACGUGCGACAGCAGCUGCUACAGUGGUCGCUGCAAGCGCAAGAGCUGCAUCCCGCACGUUAUAUUGAACCGUUAGUUUGCACGGCAGAGGGUAAACGCGUUUGUUUAACGCGUCUCUUGGAACCGGUGCCACUGCCGUUGGAAUUGAACGAACAGAAGUUCGAAUUGGCUUGCCGUUUCGUCGCACUCUUGAAUGUAUUGAAGACCUACGACCCGUGCAUGCGCUUCGAUGGCAUUUGGCUAAAUAACCAAUGUGUGUUGGAUACCAAUUGGUGUACGUUGAAGGAUCUUGGCGUUUUGUUGUGUAAUUUUCUCCUCGGCAUUGGUGUUAAUUGUUGGCUCGUGCUCGGUCAUGCCACAGCGUAUGGCGAGUGUGCUUUUGUUCUGUAUAGAAGUGAUGAAGGUGAACUCAUGCUUAUCGAUCCUCAGACGGGCAAACGUUCCGGCACAAGGGAUGUCUUCUGUCCGCUCUACAAGAUAUGCAUGGUGGUGGCGCAGGACAAUUUAUACGCCAACAUUCAAUCUGAAACGCGUGUCACAAUGACGAAUUUCAAUUUGAACGACACAUCCUGUUGGCUGCCCGCCUUCACGAAACGCAAUCCUGCCCCGUUGGGCGGUGUACAAAAACUGGAUUACACUUACCAGCUCGCCUUCAAUACAUUCGAGCUGAGACGCAACAUUGAGCGAAAGAUAAUGAAGAAAAUCAAUUCGUGGCGCGCUAUGCGUAAGACCAUUUGGAAUCGCGCCUUUCAGCCACGCCUGCAAAGCAUUCUUCAAGACUUAGAACAACUAAGUAUUUCCGAUAAUGGAUCGUACACCGAAGCUAAGUACACCGAGCAAGUAGCGGCUGAAUUUCCAAACUAUAAGAUCUAUGGCUUUGCACUUAACUUUCCCUAUACAAAUCUCACAUCGAUUUCUGAACGCAUAAAGUCCACUGGCAUACAUUUAAAUUCGGAUAAGCGUGUUGAGUUUUGCUUGGCGACGCAUAUACACAUCUAUCCAAAUGAUGUGCUCUCUGUGUGGAUAUUUCUGAUAUCAUUGAUACCUAACGGGUUUAAUUAAGGGUUAAGGGAGCUUCAUUGAAACAUUUAAUGUGCGUAAAUAUUAUCUAUAUAUUUUACUACUGUUUGGUGCCACGAUUCUUGUAUAUACCGUUAGUUAUAUACCUAACAUAUCAAAA
rnacentral:misc_RNA from 1 species